UACGAAGGGGGCUAGCGUUGUUCGGAUUUACUGGGCGUAAAGCGCACGUAGGCGGAUCGAUCAGUCAGGGGUGAAAUCCCGGAGCUCAACUCCGGAACUGCCUUUGAUACUGUCGAUCUCGAGUCCGGAAGAGGUGAGUGGAACUCCUAGUGUAGAGGUGGAAUUCGUAGAUAUUAGGAAGAACACCAGUGGCGAAGGCGGCUCACUGGUCCGGUACUGACGCUCAUGCACGAAAGCGUGGGGAGCAAACAGG
rnacentral:rRNA from 1 species